ensembl:lncRNA
CCCUUUGCUACACCAGUCCACACAACCCUCAACCCCCCACGUGGAGUUCCCGUCCUCCAGUAUCCGGAUAUAGCCUAUAGGCCGCCUAUUUGUUUAACCACCCCUCUGUCAACACUGGCAGCAAAUCAGGGUUUGUGUCUGGUCUCCAACUUAGAGUGGCCUAUAGCUUAGCAGCAGAAACCUCUGUGUUGCUAUUCGGAGAGUACUGUAAGUGUGAAUAGGAGAGUACUGUACUGUAAGUGUGAAUAGGAGAGUACUGUAAGUGUGAAUAGGAGAGUACUGUACUGUAAGUGUGAAUAGGAGAGUACUGUAAGUGUGAAUGGGAGAGUACUGUAAGUGUGAAUAGGAGAGUACUGUAAGUGUGAAUGGGAGAGUACUGUAAGUGUGAAUAGGAGAGUACUGUAAGUGUGAAUGGGAGAGUACUGUAAGUGUGAAUGGGAGAGUACUGUAAGUGUGAAUAGGAGAGUACUGUAAGUGUGAAUGGGAGAGUACUGUACUGUAAGUGUGAAUAGGAGAGUACUGUACUGUAAGUGUGAAUGGGAGAGUACUGUACUGUAAGUGUGAAUAGGAGAGUACUGUAAGUGUGAAUAGGAGAGUACUGUAAGUGUGAAUGGGAGAGUACUGUAAGUGUGAAUAGGAGAGUACUGUACUGUAAGUGUGAAUAAGAGAGUACUGUAAGUGUGAAUAGGAGAGUACUGUAAGUGUGAAUAGGAGAGUACUGUA